AUUUUGGUAGGCUGUGAACACAGCUGAAUCAAACCUUGUGUGCAACUUGUGUGUUAUGUUUUUUCUCUCAAUACAAGUGACGUUUCUUUAUUUUCCAUUCAAUUUCUAAGUUUCCAAUCUUUUCUCACAUUUUCUAUUCUUAAAUAAAAAUCCUAAAUAAAAAUCCUAUCUUCACAACCCCACAAACACCAUUUCUCGGUGCUCUCAAAUCUUUUCUUAUUUUGAGUGGCUGCAAAACCCCACGUGUUUUGCUCCCUCAAUUUUUAUUUUUUCCCCCCCUUUUAUUUGUUAACCUAUUUUUUUUCCAUAAUCAAUAAUCACUUUGAGGUUUAGGGUUUUGAAUCCUCACGCCUCUCGAUUAGUUUAAGGAUUGUUGUUUCGGUUUUGCCAUGUCAAAGAGGGUUCUUUGUAAGUUCUUUGCUCAUGGCGCUUGUCUGAAAGGGGAGCAUUGUGAAUUUUCUCAUGACUGGAAAGCCCCUCCAAACAAUAUAUGCACCUUUUAUCAGAAAGGAGUUUGUGCUUAUGGUAGUCGCUGCAGGUAUGAUCAUGUCAAAGCUUCUCGAGCGCAGCCCUCUACUCCAUCUUCUUCAAUAAUCGAAAACCAGCCCCUUGUUUCAGAAUCUGUUGUACUUGGUAAUACCAGAAUUACAUCAAACGAUGUUACUACAGCUGCCGAGUUUUCUCUUUCCAACACUCCUUAUGUUCUUCCCAGUAUACCAGCCUGGAAUCAAGAAUCUGUUCAUCACGAUUUCUUAAGGGAAGAUGAUGUUGUUCAAUCGAUAAUUACUUCGCCUUCUGAGCUUCCAAUUUGUUCCUUUGCUGCUGCUGGAAACUGUCCACGAGGUGAACAAUGUCCUCAUGUACAUGGAGAUUUAUGCCCCUCGUGUGGAAGACAUUGCUUGCAUCCUUUCCGGCCUGAAGAAAGAGAAGAACAUAUGAUGAGUUGCGAAAAUAAGCAAAAGCAUCUUGAGGCAUUGAAAAGAAGUCAAGAAAUCGAAUGCAGUGUUUGCCUGGAGCGCGUUCUUUCAAAGCCUACAGCAGCUGAACGUAAGUUUGGGCUGCUAUCUGAAUGCGAUCAUCCAUUCUGCAUAUCGUGUAUUAGAAAUUGGCGUAGUAGUAACCCGACAUUAGGGAUGGAUGUUAAUAGCACAUUGCGGGCAUGUCCUAUAUGUCGCAAGCUAUCUUACUUUGUCGUUCCAAGUGUUAUUUGGUAUGCUACAAGUGAUGAGAAACUGGAAAUCAUCGAUACCUACAAGGCAAAGCUCAAGUCAAUUGACUGCAAGCAUUUUGACUUUGGGGAUGGAAACUGCCCUUUUGGAACUAGCUGCUUCUACAAGCAUGCAUAUCGAGACGGCCGUCUUGAGGAGGUAGCUUUGCGACAUCUUGGGGCUGCAGAUGGUGACACCAUAAUUGCCAAAGACAUCAGGCUGUCGGAUUUUCUUGCUAACAUGCAUUUAAGUUGAUGGUUGAUGUUCACAUUUUCGGAUGGGAAAUGGGCUCUAGAAAUCCGGAAUUUAAGUGGGAGCUUCAAAGGUACUAGAGAAAAUGCUGCAGUGUGCAUUCCAUUGUUAUAAUAAAGUGCAUAUGUAAAAUGGUUAAUGGAGAUAUAUGCUUGUACAACGGAAUAAAUUCCAAUAAGCUCUAACUUUUAAAGCAUACAAAAUGAAGUAUGGAAUGAUUGGUGGGUGGUAUUAUAAACUACAGAGUGCAUCAUUUUAGCCAUCUAAGACUCUUGAAAAAACAUUUACUUUGUGUGGUGGAUUUCAUAGUUACUUUAUGUAAAAGUUGAUUUAGGGGAUGAGGUUUUUUUUUGUUAGCAAUAAUGUGAUUUACAAGAUAUAGGUGUUUAUUUGUAAACUUGAUUUUAUUGCUUGGUGACAUUGCACCAAGAACCUUGAUUUUGUUAUUAUUACUUACAGGAAUUUCUCAGGAGAUUUUUGGUGUUCA